UACGGAGGAUCCGAGCGUUAUCCGGAUUUAUUGGGUUUAAAGGGUGCGUAGGUGGAUUGGUAAGUCAGUGGUGAAAGUUUGCAGCUCAACUGUAAAAUUGCCGUUGAAACUGCCGGUCUUGAGUGCAAAUGAGGUAGGCGGAAUGCGUCGUGUAGCGGUGAAAUGCUUAGAUAUGACGCAGAACUCCGAUUGCGAAGGCAGCUUACUGGGAUGCAACUGACGCUGAGGCACGAAAGCGUGGGUAUCAAACAGGAUUAGAUA
rnacentral:rRNA from 1 species